AAUAUUGCGCAAUGGAGGGAACUCGGACGCAGCGUCCCCGCGUGAGCGGUGAAGGAUUUCGGAUCGUAGAGCUCCGUGCUUGGGUAAGAUGGUCUUGGGGCCUGACCGCACCAAAGGUGGAAGCCCCGGCUAUAUAUGUGGAAGCAGCCGCGGUAAUACGUAGGGUCUAAGCGUUGGCCGGAAUUAUUGGGAGUAAAGGGUGAGUAGGCGGCCUUUUAAGUCGGGUGUGCAAGCCCACGGCUUAACCGUGGGAUUGCAUUUGAAACUCGAAGGCUUGAGUAUCGGAGAGGGUAGAGGAAUUCCCAGUGUAGCGGUGGAAUGCGUAGAUAUUGGGAGGAACACCAGUGGCGAAGGCGACUACCUGGACGAAAACUGACGCUGAGGCACGAAAGCUAGGGGAGCAAAC
rnacentral:rRNA from 1 species